rnacentral:rRNA from 1 species
CCUACGGGUGGCAGCAGUGGGGGAUAUUGCACAAUGGGGGAAACCCUGAUGCAGCGACGCCGCGUGGGUGAAGAAGCGCCUCGGCGCGUAAAGCCCUGUCAGCAGGGACGAAAAUGCCGGUAUCUGAAGACGAAGCCCCGGCUCACUACGUGCCAGCAGCCGCGGUAAUACGUAGGGGGCACGCGUUAUCCGGCUUUACUGGGGGUAUAGGGGGCGCAGACGGGGAUGCAAGCCAGGAGGGAAAGCCCGGGGCUCAACCCCGGGCCUGCUCUUGGCACUGGGGGUCGAGAGUGCAGGGGGGGCAGGCGGAAUGCCUGGUGUAGCGGUGAAAUGCGUAGAUAGCAGGAGGAACACCGGUGGCGAAGGCAGCCUGCUGGACUGCAACUGACGUUGAGGCCCGAAAGCGUGGGGAGCGAACAGGAUUAGAUACCCCAGUAGUC